GGUGAACGCUGGCGGUGGGCCUAAUACAUGCAAGUCGAACGACAGCAUAGUGAGCGUUUUCCUUUGACGUUGGCGGCUGACGGGUGGGUGACACAUACGUCGCCUUCCUCUUUUACUGGGAGAACACCGUGAGACCGCUUCUACUGCUACCUAAUAUUUAGUACCGCUGAAUUCUGAGGAGAUUGGUGCUUUGCCCGUUUAUAUGAGCUGAUCACGGGCCGUAUUAUUUAGGUGGUAAGGUACCGGCUUAGCAAGGCCACGAUACGUAGCCGACCUGAUAGGGUGAUCGGCCACACUGGAAAUGAGACACGGUCCAGCCUACUACGGGAGGCAGCAGUAGGGAAUCUUCCGCAAUGGGCGAAAGCCUGACGGAGCAACGCCGCGUGAGUGAUGAAGGUCUUCGGAUCGUAAAACUCUGUUAUUAGGGAAGAACAAAUGUGUAAGUAACUGGGCACGUCUUGACGGUACCUAAUCAGAAAGCCACGGCUAACUACGUG
rnacentral:rRNA from 1 species